rnacentral:rRNA from 1 species
UACGUAGGGUGCGAGCGUUAAUCGGAAUUACUGGGCGUAAAGCGUGCGCAGGCGGUUCGCUAAGACCGAUGUGAAACCCCCGGGCUUAACCUGGGAACUGCAUUGGUGACUGGCGGGCUAGAGUGUGGCAGAGGGGGGUAGAAUUCCACGUGUAGCAGUGAAAUGCGUAGAGAUGUGGAGGAAUACCGAUGGCGAAGGCAGCCCCCUGGGCUAACACUGACGCUCAUGCACGAAAGCGUGGGGAGCAAACAGG